GACGAACGCUGGCGGCGUGCUUAACACAUGCAAGUCACGGGGGUCUCGCAAGAGAGAACCGGCGAACGGGUGCGCAACACGUGAACAACCUGCCGUUGUGAGGGGGAUAGCCGGGCUAACGCCCGGGUAAUACCGCAUACGCUGCCCGAGGGGAGUCCCUUGGGGAGGAAAGCCAUGGCGCAAGCGAUGGCGCACGACGAGGGGUUCGCGGCCUAUCAGCUA
rnacentral:rRNA from 1 species